AUGGCGCACCGUGAUCAUGGUGCGCCACUACUAUUGAUUUUUUUCCCCAUUUUUUCAUACAAACUAAUGGCGCAGGAAUGGCAAAGUGCGCCAUUACUAGUUAGAACUUGUAAUGGCGCACGACCAAGACAGUGCGCCAUUAGUAUAUAUUAUUUUUUUUACUUUUUUGCAAACCUACUAAGGGCGCACUAUGCCAAAGCCCAGUCGUGUUUAUACCCGAAGCCAAAUCCAAGACCGCGGGCGCAAACGUCACCGCGAAAAAUGAGCCAUGGGUACUGGCUUCUCAAGUGGACCAAUGCUUCUUCAUUACCGACCCGCCAAAGCCCAGUCGUGUUGUCGUGA
rnacentral:rRNA from 1 species